GACGAACGCUGGCGGCGCGCCCAACACAUGCAAGUCGAACGGAGCUGUUUUCUCUGAAGUUUUCGGAUGGAAGAGAGUUCAGCUUAGUGGCGAACGGGUGAGUAACACGUGAGCAACCUGCCUUUCAGUGGGGGACAACAUUUGGAAACGAAUGCUAAUACCGCAUAAGACCACAGUGUCGCAUGGCACAGGGGUCAAAGGAUUUAUCCGCUGAAAGAUGGGCUCGCGUCCGAUUAGCUAGAUGGUGAGGUAACGGCCCACCAUGGCGACGAUCGGUAGCCGGACUGAGAGGUUGAACGGCCACAUUGGGACUGAGACACGGCCCAGACUCCUACGGGAGGCAGCAGUGGGGAAUAUUGCACAAUGGGGGAAACCCUGAUGCAGCGACGCCGCGUGGAGGAAGAAGGUCUUCGGAUUGUAAACUCCUGUCCCAGGGGACGAUAAUGACGGUACCCUGGGAGGAAGCACCGGCUAACUACGUGCCAGCAGCCGCGGUAAAACGUAGGGUGCAAGCGUUGUCCGGAAUUACUGGGUGUAAAGGGAGCGCAGGCGGAUUGGCAAGUUGGGAGUGAAAUCUAUGGGCUCAACCCAUAAAUUGCUUUCAAAACUGUCAGUCUUGAGUGGUGUAGAGGUAGGCGGAAUUCCCGGUGUAGCGGUGGAAUGCGUAGAUAUCGGGAGGAACACCAGAGGCGAAG
rnacentral:rRNA from 1 species